rnacentral:rRNA from 1 species
CGCGACCCCAGGUCAGGCGGGGCUACCCGCUGAGUUUAAGCAUAUCAAUAAGCGGAGGAAAAGAAACU